rnacentral:rRNA from 1 species
AGUGAACGCUGGCGGUAGGCCUAACACAUGCAAGUCGAACGGCAGCACAGUAAGAGCUUGCUCUUACGGGUGGCGAGUGGCGGACGGGUGAGGAAUACAUCGGAAUCUACUUUUUCGUGGGGGAUAACGUAGGGAAACUUACGCUAAUACCGCAUACGACCUACGGGUGAAAGCAGGGGAUCUUCGGACCUUGCGCGAUUGAAUGAGCCGAUGUCGGAUUAGCUAGUUGGCGGGGUAAAGGCCCACCAAGGCGACGAUCCGUAGCUGGUCUGAGAGGAUGAUCAGCCACACUGGAACUGAGACACGGUACAGACUCCUACGGGAGGCAGCAGUGGGGAAUAUUGGACAAUGGGCGCAAGCCUGAUCCAGCCAUACCGCGUGGGUGAAGAAGGCCUUCGGGUUGUAAAGCCCUUUUGUUGGGAAAGAAAAGCAGCAGGUUAAUACCCCGCUGUUCUGACGGUACCCAAAGAAUAAGCACCGGCUAACUUCGUG